GCCCCAGUAGCUUAACUCAAAGCGCCGGUCUUGUAAUCCGGAAAUCGGAGGUUAAAAUCCCCCCUGAGGCC
rnacentral:tRNA from 1 species